GACGAACGCUGGCGGCGUGCUUAACACAUGCAAGUCGAACGAUGAAGCCCAGCUUGCUGGGUGGAUUAGUGGCGAACGGGUGAGUAACACGUGGGCAACCUGCCCCAAACUCUGGGAUAACUCCUCGAAAGUGGUGCUAAUACCGGAUACGAACUAGACAGACAUCUGUACUAGUUGGAAAGUUUUUGGGUUUGGGAUGGGCACGCGGCCUAUCAGCUUGUUGGUGAGGUACCGGCUUUACGAGGCUACGGCGGGUGACCGGCCUGAGAGGGCGACCGGUCACACUGGGACUGAGACACGGGCCAGACUCCUACGGGAGGCAGCAGUGGGGAAUAUUGCGCAAUGGGCGAAAGCCGGACGCAGCGAAGCCGCGUGAGGGAUGAAGGUCUUCGGAUCGUAAACCUCUUUCAGUAGGGACGAAGCGAAAGUGACGGUACCUAAAGAAGAAGCACCGGCUAACUACGUGCCAGCAGCCGCCGCCG
rnacentral:rRNA from 1 species